AACGAACGCUGGCGGCAGGCUUAACACAUGCAAGUCGAACGCCCCUUUCGGGGGGAGUGGCAGACGGGUGAGUAACGCGUGGGAACGUGCCCUUCAGUUUGGAAUAACCCAGGGAAACUUGGGCUAAUACCGGAUACGCCCUUCGGGGGAAAGAUUUAUCGCUGAAGGAUCGUCCCGCGUGUGAUUAGCUGGUUGGUGAGGUAAAGGCUCACCAAGGGGACGAUCAGUGGCUGGUCUAAGAGGAUGAUCAGCCACAUUAGGACUGAGACACGGACAAAAGUCCUACGGGAGGAAGGAGGGGGGAAUAUGGGACAAUGUGCGGAAGCCUGAGCGAACAACGCCGCGUGGGGGAAGACGGCCUUCGGGUUGUAAACCUCUUUCAGCGGGGACGAAGCGCAAGUGACGGUACCCGCAGAAGAAGAACCGGCCAACUACGUGCCAGCAGCCGCCGUAAAAC
rnacentral:rRNA from 1 species